rnacentral:lncRNA from 1 species
CUUAAAUUACAUAAUUUUUUUUUAAAACUUAAACCUCAAGAAAGUAAGUAACAAAAUUUUGAAACGAUAUAGAAAAUAUGGGAUUUUGUACCUCUUUGGGUUUUUUGUCUGAUUUAUUAUCAGAAUCCUGGUUUUUCUGUUGGUCAGGUUUUUUCUCUUUUUUUUCCUCUUUGUUAUCAUCUUUCUUGGGUUGAGAAGAAAUGAGCUCAACUUUCUUCUUCGUUUUCUUGUCGAGUUUCUCUUUAAUGGCAGUGGGAUCCGCAGUUCCUAUCACCGUCACUUUGUUUGAGCUCAUCUCUGGUUUCACCGUCUCCACCCCUGCGACCAAAAAAAAAAAACACAGGAAAACAGAGUAAAUAACAAGAGCAGAAUGAAGAAAUGAAGAGGGAAAAGCCAGAAACAAGAAUGGGAAAUAAGCGUGGAAAGCGAUUAUACCUUCAAAGUGAUUAAUGCAUUUGAGGAUUUUGGAAGCACAACCAUCACAGAGACACUCAAAUUUGAAAACAGAGGUUGAAGAACUCUUUUCCUUCAUUUUCCCAUCCCCUCCUCCUUGCUUGUUUCCGUUCUUUUUCUGCAACAAACACGAAGAACAACCAUAACACAAAAUCAUAUUAAUUAUGAACCAGAAAACGAAAUGAAAGAUGAUGAAAAGAGUAAAAAAAGAGAAAGAGAAACGGAGUUAGGGAGUGUAGUGCUAACUCACCUCUCCCAUUGCGAGUGGAAAUGCGUUAUGUGAAUCGGGUUUAAGUGAUGAUUUGAAAUAUGAGAGGAAAAAAGGAGAAGCAGUAUUUAUAGAGGGGAUGGAUGGUUCAAAACGCGUGGAAUGAAGGGUGGCUGGCUAAGGGGUUAAGACUUGAGAGUUGGGGGGUACUUCAAGGAAAAAGUGGUGGGCUUCAAAAGUAAAAAAAGAAUUGGAGGUUCUUGGCUGUUUCUUUCUCUGUGUCCAUUUAUGCAACUUAGGAACAUUAAUCCACUCCCUCCCCCAUCACCUGUUCACUCAUGCUUUGCCUCUAGUCCCACCUGAAUCACAGUGGUCUCCCCAAUGAACUUACCUAAACCCACAUUUCGACUGCAUUUUGUAUUUUCUUUGUUACUCACACACACCCAUUUAGACUAUCACUCAUGUAUAGCUUGCAUCCAUCCUACAACUUUAAGGAUAUAAUGAACACCCUUAACCAAUAAAUCAAAUGUUAAAGUUCAAAUAUAGAGCAUUUCUUAAUUUGUCCAUGUCAAUUAAUUAUAUAAUCCAAAUCUCAUUAAUUAAUAAUAUUAUUAAUAUAAAUAUAACAAAGUUCUCUAUAUUUUAUUAAAAAUUUAAAAUUUAGUCCUUAUACUUUCUUUUUUGCUGUUAGAAUUUAUGAUAUGACUUUUAUAAAACGAAAAAGUAAAAUAACUCUUUAAGCCUUUAACAGUUAAAAGUAAUUUAUCAAUUUAGCCCUUACACUUUAAAAUUACAUAAAAGUUAGAAAAAAAUGUUUUAAAAAUUAAAGCUUUUUCAUAUUUUCAAUAAAAAAUUGUGAAAAAAUUACAAAUGCAACCAAGGAUCUUCUUUUGAAUAAAUUAAAAGCUUUUUCAUAUUUUCAAUAAAAAAUAUAAAAAAAUUGUGAAAAAUUAAAAUCUCUUUCAUAUCUUCAAUAAAAAAUUACAAAUGGGGACCGGAGUUUGGUGUUUCUUUUGAAUCGAAUGAGUACAAAAAUAAUAAAGUUAUAAAAAGUAAGAAAAUACAUGUGAAAAUGAAUGCAAGCAAGGCAGGUGAGAUUCAAGGAUCUUAUACUGCAAAGGGGUAUUGAUGCGAGAGAGAAUGAUUUUGUUAAUAAAUAUCUGUUAUUUCUAUUAACAAUAAUUGACCAUGAUGAUUUUUUUUUUAUUUUUUAUUGUUGAUAGGAGAAUGGUUAUAUUUUAUUUUUUUUACAACUAAAUUUACGUAAAAAUAUUUAUAUAUAAUUAAUCUGGUUUAAAAUUUUAAUUUUUUUUUCAAAUUUGAUUUAAUAUCAACCGAACGAAUAUCUCAAAUUUAGAGACACCUUAUUACUAUUCAUGAACUAGAUAACAUUUUUUUUUGAAUUUUCGAAAAAAAUUAUAUUUUUCAUAGUUGUUUAGUUAUCUAAAAUGACUUUUAUAAUUUUUUUUAAUUUUAAAGAGGUCUUAAUUUUCAAAAAAAAAUUAUAUUCAUUAUUGAAAAUAUGAAAAAAGACUUUUAAAUUUUGUAAAUUUUAUGUUCUUUAAAAGUGUAAAGACCAAAAUAAAAAAAAUUAUAAAUGUUGAGGGCUAAAAGAGUUAUUUUACUUUUUUUUUUAUAAUAACCACAUCAUCAAUACUAGCGGCAAAAUUGAUGGAGGGACCAAGAUUUUAAAUAAAAAAAGUAUAGGGACUCAAUGUCUCAAAAUUAAAGUAUUAUGGCUAAAUUUUAAAUUUCAAAAGAGUACAAGGACUUUUAAAAUAUUUAAACCUUUUUUUAAUUUGAAAAAUUAAAAAAAUCAAAUAUGAUCUAAAUUCUAAAUGUUGUUAUAGGUGUAUAAUAAUCACAUCUCUAUAAAAUUAUGGCAGACAAAUGAGACUGUUAUAGAGACAAAUGAGAAUGUAUAAUAAUCACAUCUCUAUAAUAAUCACAUCUUUCAAUAGUUUUUUUUUCUCUUGAGAUUAUUCAAUAUUUUAUGGUUACAUUGAAUUUUGAUUAAAUCUCAAAUCAGAUUCUAAACUAAGUGCACGUUGUUUUUUCGAUCAUAAGACUCGAACUUAAAAUCAUACUUAAAACACACUGAGCUCUUAACUACUAAGUCUAACUAAAACUAGUGAAAAAGCGCAAGUUGGUUUGCUCACAGUCUAACUUGAUGUCCCAACUGAUGUUCGGACACAAGUUUGAACAUGACAUUUUGACAGCAAUUUAUAAAUGGAGAGUAAAGUAAUGAGAGAAGUCAACAAAUGAUAUUUGUUAACACAGUUCAGAUCAACAAUCUUACUCUGUAGAGCCUCAGUUAGUGAAUGAUUUUAUUCAAUAAUUGUUAGGAUCACCUAUUGGCUUAAGCACUGUAACGACCUGAUAGUUAUGGGUAUCGGAAAAUUCAUUUCAGAGACUUUGUUACCAUAAAUCGGACUCGUAAAUAUUUUUAAUAAAUGUUUACAAAGCUAGUUGUGUGGUUAAUUAGGUUUUGGUUAGGUGAAUUUGUAUGAAUUAUGAGUAAUUAGGUAUAAGGAUUAAAUUGUAUAAAGGAUGAAAUUUGAAUUAUAGAUUAAAGAAAAACUAAAAGGACUAAAUAAGCAAUUAUGCUAAUAGUCAUAAUUGAGGCCUCAUAAGUGUAUAUAUUAUAAAAUUUUAAAGUUAAAAAAUAUAUAUUAUAAUUCUUGGCACCAUUUUUUUGAUAAAACGGGUCGACUUGGGUUUUAAAAAAUGAAAACGAAAGUGGGAGUCGCCACCAAUCUUUUUAAUGAGGUGUGAUCAGACCACCUUGAAAAGUGGUUAUUUUUAAUAAACAAUUUAAUUUUAUUAAAACAACAAUUUUGGGCCACGAAAUUCAAAAAAAUAGGUUCGGGAGUCGGUUACGUACAAGGAAGGAUUAGCACCCUUGUAACGCCCAAAAAUUGGUACCUAGUUGAUUAAUUAGUAUCUUAAUGUCGAAAGUCGAAAACUUUAAAGAAAUCUAAAAUACGAUCCUUUAGUGAAAUGCUAAAAUUGAGAAAAAGACAUAUUUUACAUUGAUCGAGAAGGAGAAUUACAUCCCGUAAGUUAGGAUGCAACGUCUCGAAUUCCCGAUAUAAAAAUGAAUAUCGAAAAAGAAUUUACUUAUUUUGAAAGAUAUUUGAUUAUCUCGGGUUUUAAGAAAGAGAUCAUGUCCCGUGAGUUAGAACACGAUCUUUUGUUAAUUCCCGAGUGCAUUUAAAAAACUUUGUUUGAAAUGAUUCGCGUAUUUAGAUUUAUCGAGAAAAUCGAAACCCCGUAAGUUAGGGUACGAUUUUUUUAGAAUAAUUGAAAUACGAAAAAACAGGUUUUGAUAUAUUGAAUAAAGUAAAAUGUAAAAAAUGCGAAAAUAAAUUACAUUGGAUACGCAUGCGAAAUAAUAAUAAAUACGAUAGUGUAACGUGAUACGAACGAUAGUGACAAAACGAGAUAUGAAAAGAUGAAUUAAUAACAUGCUGAACAAUGAGUAUUUAAGCAGGUAAGAGUGAAACAUUUAAUAUAAUAAUGAAAGCGUGAAUAAAAAAAUAAAUAAGUAAAUAUAAUUAUAAAAAUACAAAAGGGGAUAUGUAUAUGUAUAUGUAUAUAAAGUAUAUGUAAUAAGGAAUAUGCAAGCAUGUAUAUAUGAAAAUUAAAAAUAUGUAUAAAAAGAUAUAUAUAAGAUAUUAAAUAUAUGUGUAUAUAAAGAUAUAUAAAUAAUAUAAGGUAUAAAAUCUAAUAUAUAUUAGAAAGGUAUAUAAAUACAUAAAUAUGUACAUAAGUUAUAAAAUAAAAAGGAUAAAUUUAUGUUUAUAUAUAUUGUAAAAUAUGUAUAUAUAUAUUAAGAAAAUAUAAGCAUGUGCAUACUUUAUAAUUAUAAAUAAAAAUGCAUGUAUAUAUAUAGAUUAUAAAAUAUAUGUAUGUAUAUAUAUAUGUGUUUUAAAAUAUAUAUGUAAAAAAAAUACAUUAAUAUGUAUAUAGAUUACAAAGUACUAGAUAUAAAAGUAUGUGUAAUGUACAAAUAUUUGAUUAUAAUAACAAUAAUAAUACAGUAAUAAUAUUAUAUAAUAAUAUUAAUGAUAUUAAAACAAUUAAUUUGUUUAAAUAAAAUAACCUAAACGGCAAAAAUAGGAUUAAAUUGAAAAAAAAUUAAACUUUGAGCUCGAAAUUAAAAAUAAAAAUAACUAAAAGGAUUAAAUAAUAAGGCACGCGAAAGAGAGAGGACCAAAAGGGAAAUUUUCCCACGUUGGUUAAAAGGUGCCGUUUUAGCGAGGAUUAAUUUGUAAUCAUGGAAAAAUUACGGGAAAAAUUUAAAAAAAACUUAAUUAAAAAAUCCUUAAAAAGCGGAAGGACUAAAAUAGAAAAUAUCCCCUCAAACAAAACGCGCUGAUCCUCUGGUCUGGUCGGGUCGACGCGCGGAUCUGGGGGAUGAAACAACGUCGUUUUGUUAGGCUAUUUAAGCCAAGAGUUUUCCAAAAAAAAAAAAAACCAUUUUCCCCAUUCUCUAAAGAAAAAUCCUGAAACUCUCUCUCCCCUCUCUUUCUCCGUUCCUCUCUCCGGCCAGGGGCUCGGUCGUCGGUGCCGCCGUAUGCGGCGGUCGGAGGGCCAAAAAAAUCUGUUUUUUUCAGGCGAUUUGAUAGCAGGUAAUGUUCUCUUUUUCUACUUUCUGUCAAUAUGUAUGGAUGUAUGCGUAAUAUAUAAACAAAUACCUAUGUUAGUGGAUGGUUUCGAAAAAAAGAAAAAUAAAUAAAAAAGAAAACUUGGCUUUCCUUUUCUGUUUGUGACUUUCUUUUUGCGUGAAUCUGUUGUUUUUUUGUAUUUUUAAGUAACACUUUGUAUAAAAAAACACCGGAAGAAACAGAUUAUAGCCAAGUUCGGCUUUUAUACAUCUUUAUUACUAGUGCUGUCGUUUCUCUUUAAAUGUUUGCAGGUACUUGAUGGCACGACAAUGGCGGUUGAGCAGAGGGCAGAGGUAAGUGCACCACUUGCUACUGACGUGAUAGGUGCUGUGGCACUAGGGUUUCAAUCUCUAAAACCCUAGUUUACUCUUUGAUGGGUUUGGGCUUAGUCCUUUAGUUUGGGCCCCGGGUGUAAUUGGGUUUGAGUAAAAUUGGGCUAUACAAUAAUAUUAUAAUAUUAAAACAUAAAUGUUAAGUAUAUAUAUAUUAUAUUAUAUUAUAAUAAUAAAACAAAGAAAAAAGAAAUAGAAAGAAAGAAGCAGAGAAAGCCAAACGAAAUAGAAAAGAAAAGGGGAGAAAGGAGAAAGACGAAGGGACUUAGGGGUUUCAAAGUUUCAAGCUCAACUGGUUAGUCAAUUUAGUCCCUUUUUUAUUGUAAUUUUUAUAUUUUUGGAAUCCCAUUAUUAAAUACUACCCAACCCAUGUCAAAAUUUUAGAAAUUAUUAAGUUUUUAAGUGAUGUUUAUGUUGAAUAAUUUUAGUAUUAGGAAUUAAAUUGAUAGAUUUUUAAGCUAGAAAUGAAAAAUGAUUAAAUUGUAGAACAAAUUGUAAAUUUUGAGUAAUAGGGACUAAAUUGUAAAGAUUUUAAAAUUUAGGAAUUUAAGUGAAAUUAGAGAGUUAAAUCUAGUUUAAAGUGGAAAUUGAAUGAAAAUAUAGGAUUAAAUGUAAAGAAAUAAAGUUAGUCUCGGUUUAGGGACUAAACUGGAAUUUAGACAAAUAUUGAGUAAAAAUUGAAAUAUGCAAUAUGAAAUUGAAUUGUAUUGUAUUGAUGAAUUUUAAUUGUUUUAAUUCUGUAGCUAAUGUCGUACCGAAAUCCUCGAUUAAAAAUGGGAAAGAUAAAGUUGAUGUGAAAUAGCUCGGAAUUCCUGAUUUGUAUUUCUAUAAUCCGAAUCUAGUUAUUAAUUCUUGUAUUUUGAUUUAAUGCUUAUGGGAAGUGGUUGAGGUGAGUAUUUGGUAUUUUGAUAUUGAAUUGAAUUAAAGUUGAUGGAAAUUAAUUGAAUUGGUAUAUAUAUAUUAUGAUUAUUUGAUUUGAAUUGAAUUUAUGUGAUUAUAUGAAAAAUUGAUAUUGGUUAUUGGUUGUUUCUGAAAUGUGAAAUUUAAACCCUAUUAACUGUAUCGGGUUGAAUCAAAUAUAGAUGGCAUGCCAUAGGAUUGGAAGAGUUCAGGGAUUUCUUCGACUUCGAGUCGAUGAGAAACUGGGUGUCAAUUUACUACUUCGGAUUAAUUCGAUGAGGCACUAGGUGGCAAUUUACUUCGGUUUAACCGAUGAGACAAAAGGUGUCAAUUUAUUACUUUGAAUUAUCCGAUGAGGCACUGGUGCCAAACUAGUGUGUUUUGGUUGAAUCCGUGUAUCCGUCCAAGUACGAGUCGUGUUAAUAGGGGUAAAUAUAUAAUAAAGUUUUAUAAUUGAUAUUGAAAUGGUAUGGUAUGAGAAAUGGAAGUGAAAUAGUGAAUUGAAAAUAGAAAGUGAAAAUGUUGUAAAUAUAUGGAAUAUAUGAGUUAUAUACUCAUGAAAUGACUAUAAAACGUAUUGGAUCACACGGCCAAGGCCAUUUUAGGCCGUGUGGGCCACACGGGUGUGUGGGCCCACACCAGCCGACAACAUGGGCAUGUGGGCCCAUUUUUCACUGUUUUAAUGUUAAGGUUGCACGGGUCACCCGAGGCGGCUGUGAACCUUCUGUAGGGUUGGUAAGCUUACCUAGACCCCUAAUUGACUAAAUGACUAUUAUAUCCAUGAACGAUAUAUAUUUAUGACUAUGUAUAGAGCAUGUUGUUAAACUGUACUGAAUACAUGUAUGAUACUAUGAUAUGACAUGACAUGAUUGUAUGAUGCAUGGCACGGAGAUGGGUUAUUAUUGAUCGGAGAAAGUGUACUGGAAGGCUUCGAGCCUAACUUACUAGCAACUCAGCUGCAUAUUACUGUAUAGUACCGCAAUCGGUACUACUUGGAGUGUAGGGAUGAGUGGGUUGAUUAUAUCCCCACAUGCAGUGUAGGGUUGGACGGAGAUGGUGUGUAGAGGUUGGCUAGGUAGGACUUGUAUACUGCAUAAUCUGUUACUGCACUGAUUGCUGACAUUAUAAUGGGCCAAGGCCCAAAUGCAUGAUUACUUUUGUACUGAGAUGGGAUAAAGCCCAAACCGAUACCGUCACUGAUACUGAAAAAGGCUUAGGCCCAGACUGAGUUUAUUCUGUUUACUGUCUAAUUAUUCUGUAUACUGUCUGUUUGUUUGCACGGGAAAUUACACACUGAGUUUUGAAAACUCACCCACUUCUGUUAAUCUGUAUAGGUAAUCCCUAAUCAUAGGCAGAUCAGUGCGGCGGAGGACUCAGCGGUGGCCACACAACUCCUUUUUACUGUUUUGUACCUAAUUAUAUUUAUUUUUAAAGUUUUAUUUGGGGUUUUUUUAUCUAUAAUAAUGGCCACUAUGGAUUUUUUCUUUAAAUUUGGAUUUAAAACUGCUUUAUGUUUUAUAUCUGCUAGAGGUAGAUAAAACACGGGUUUUUUAAAAAGAAAAGCAUGUAUUUAGCAAAAUACCCACAAUGACACAAACUGUUUUAAAAAGCUUCCGCUACGUGUAAUGUUUUGCAAACUAACGAUUGAAUAAAAAAACACUAUUUCAGGAUUAACAAAAGAUAACGAAAAGCUCUAAACGGAGAAUUUUUUAAGCAAAGUUACAAUUUUUUUCAAAGAGCUUCGGUUUUCAAACACACUACCAUGUGACAUCGCCAGAUUCGGUCAUAAUGUCUAGGCCGGGUUUGGGGUGUUACAUUUAAAAUCUUUCAACAAAACUUUAAUACUACCUUAAUGACACUCCGUAAAUAUUUAUAAAAAUAUUUAUGACCCGGUUUAUAGAAACGAGGUCCCGUUACCUUAUUUUCUAAAACCACUUGAACUAGGGUUUUAUCACUCGAAUCUAAUAAUUCAUUAUAAGACAUAAAUUACUAAUUCAAAAAAAUUUUUAAACCAUAUUUGACUCGUAAAUAUUAAAUAAUAAAAUUUACGAGCUUACUCGUCGGAUUUGGUGGCGUCGAACCACUGUUUCCUACAUCACUGAAAAUCGGGCUGUUACAGUUAUGGGUAGUUCUAGACAUUGUGUUAAAAAAGAGCAGAUAUGAUCAGAACCUAUAAUGAGAUGGUUAAAAAAAUUUAAUUUUUUUAUCGAAAUUUAAAAAAAAAGUAGUUUAUAUUUUUUGUUGUUUUACAUUUUCUACUUUUUAUUGCCACGAGAGUUGCAACUUUAGUGUCUCAUGCAAUUUCAAAGUAGGUGUUAAAUUGUAAUGGAAUUUGACUCAAAAUAAUAAUAAAAAGUUGUAUAUAAAGUCAAAUUGAAUAAAGAUAUUAAAGGUUAGAGGCUAAUUUAUUAUAAUGCCUUAAAUAUAUAUAUAUAUAUAAACCCAAAUAAGUACUUAACGAAAUCUAAGUAUAAUACAUAAACUUCUAUGGCAUUUUACUGAUAAUUUGUUUGGUUUAUGAUAAAAAGUAAAUUUUUUUAUUAAUAAAUAUAUUAGUAAUGGUAAGUUAUAUUAAAAUUUUAAAAAGAAAAUUUUAAAUUUAAAACUUAAAAACGAUAUUAUUAAAAGAGACCACUCUGAAUAAAGUAAUGUAAGAGAAAAGCAAGCAGAAAGAAUCAAUUUCCAAAAAUUAUAAAAAUAAAUAAAAAAUAAAAAGAACUUAAAAUUAUAAAUAUAUAUAUGUAGAAGUUUUCUCAAUUUUUAAUAAAAAAUUCUAUGAGAUGCAAAGGAGUUUAACAAAUAAUAAUAAUUUUAAAAAGUCGUUAAAAAAUUUCACGAUUCUUAAAAAAUGAUAUUAGAAACUUAAAAGAUUAGUUUAAUUAUCGUUUCAAAAAAAUUAGCUUCAUUGUGUAAGUAAUACUAAAUUAAAUUAUCGAUACUUUAUAUACCUUUUCAUAUUUUCCAAAUUUUACUACAGUUUAAUUGAAUAAAUUAUUAAAAAUAUUUUAAAAAUGGAAAAAUAUUAAUUCAAUUACCAGUUCAAUCAAUCUGGUCUUUUCUUCCAAAUCGAUACCUUAAUCGGUUCUCAAUCCAAUGAUUCGAUCGACCAGUCUAGUCCACUUCUGGAAACAGUUACUUUUUUCAUAAUUUUUGACUUUUUCAUUAUUUAAAAUUCUUUGGCAUUUAAAAAAUAGAAUUUCUUUUUUUCUUAUUGAGUCUUAGCUCGAUUGGCAUGGAUAUUGUUGUCAAUGCAUGAGAUCAUGGGUUCAAGUGCACUAAAGCUUAUUCGCCUCUUAUUUAUGGGUUGUGGAGGGGUUAUUGUAACACCCCUAACACGAGUCCACAACUGGAAUAGGGUUACGAAGCAUUACCGGAGUUUACAGAACAAAUAGACAAAUAUUUCAAAUAUUCCACAUCACAUAAUAUACAUGUCAGAAACCAAUUGGAAUUAAACAUAUUGUCCCUUAUACGAGCCCUUGAGGCCCAAAAUACACAUUAGAAGCAAAUCGGGACUAAAUCGAAAACUCAAAAAAAUUUUUAGAAACAUUUAAUAUUUUCAACACUGCAGGGCUCACACGGCCGUGUGACUCACACGGUCAAGAGACACGCCCGUGUCUAAGACCGUGUAACUCACUGACUUGUAUUCUUUUAAAAGAUACAGAGGACACAUGACCGUGUUACCUGGCCGUGCGUCACACACGGCUGAGACACACGCCCGUGUCUCUGCACAUGUGGACGAAAAUAAACUAUUUUACAAGCCACAUUUCUCACCCAAUUUGGUGUCAACCCACAAUCAACAUUACUUAUAUCUAUAACACCCCUUAACCCGAAUUCAUCGCUAGAUUAGGGUUAUGAGACAUUACCUAACAAAACACAACUCAGAACAGACAUUCAAUUGAAUUCAAGUACUAGGCAAUAUAAUAUUCUUUAUAAAAGUUUUCUAAAUCAAUUCAUAUAUAUAUAUAUAUAUAUAUAUAUAUUUAUAUAUUUCACAUAUACAAAUCAUGCUUCAUUAAUACAAAGUUCGAAUCGUAUGAAAUUCAAAUGCAUGACCUUUCGAAUGCCUAAAACAUUAUUGAACACAAAGAACAAAUCAUUGUAUACCAAAUUUGCAUGCUUUAUAAUCAAUUCAAAGUACAAAUACUGAACCAUUCAAGCAUUAUAAAGUUGCAUACAUUGCCAUUACAACUAAAUCAAAAUAACCUAUGUAUAUUCGAAUAUAUAAUCAUCUCAUACCUAGCAUGCAUUAAGACAUCCAUUAAUUCAAUUUCAUUUAUUUAAGAAUUACCAAAAAUAUCAUAUACUUAGCCAUUUUAAUUCAUCACAAGAUUAUGAGCAUAAACUAUAAUAACUUAAAGCAUCUUGAACAUAAAUAACAACAAAUAUUACACUUAUUUCACAUGCCCAAAUACCAUAGUUAGAAUUCAUACACUUAACCAAUAAAUUAACUACCUAUUCGGUUAUAUAGGAAACCUUAUUUACUUCAUAUUUAUAUAAUCAUGCCAUACACACAUCACAUUUUUUAACAAGCCAAUUAUGUUCAUACACUUAAUUCAUUAUUUACCAUUAAGCAGCCAAACCUUUAUAGUAAAUAUAUAUACAAAUACAUUAUAAGCUUAUAGAUACCUGUAACAUAAAUCCAAUACUUGUCCAUCUAACAUCAAAUUAUUCAAACCGAAACACCUAUUCAUCCUCACUCACAAACCAUACCAUAUAAUGCAUUUUCAAAUAAUUUAAUUACAAAGCCGAAUGACCUUAACACAUCCAUUACUCAUACCUAAUUUACUUAAGUUAAAUCAUAUCAAAUCACCAUAACAAAACAUACUAAGCAUAUCAUACAUAUAUAUAUAUAACACAUAACCAAAAUCACUUAAAGUUAACAUUAUUUACCUUACUAAAAUACAUCAAACAUACCUCAUCUACCUUAUUGCCAAAACACAUGAACAAAACAUCACCAUAUAUAUAUAUAUGCCAUACCAUGUGAUUACUAUCCAUAUAAGAUUAAACCAUGACCAAAACAAACUUAAGCCAUAAUUAAACCGAAACCGAACACAAGCAAGGAAAUUAAGCCAUUUUCGCAUGGCUUUUAUACAAACACUUUCAAAUUAAACUAACUCCAAAGCUAGCCUAUACAUGCCAUAGUUUCAAAUAAAUUCAUUUUAUAAAAUACUGAAAAUAGUCGAUAGUGUGAUAGGCUUUGCUAACGAUUCCCGAGCUCGUAGCUUGACUCCAAAAUCUAUAAAACAGAGGUAAACAAGAACAUACACACAGUAAGUUAUUUAUGCUUAGUAAGUUAUAAGCAAAAAACAUUUAUAAAUACAUUUGCAUAUUAACAUUAGGAUAAUAAGACCGACUACACAUAUUUUUCCGAUACAAGUACAUCAUUUACUACAAGGGUCACACUUUAAUCACACAUACAUAUACCAUAUGGCCGAAUAUAAUCGAUCAUUUACACAUAUAUAUUUUCACUUUUAUUAUCACAAAUACAUCAAUAGGCCGAAUCACUUAUAUGAUCAAAUAUGCUAACCCAUAAUUCAUAUUCACAAAACUUUAUAUCAUUUCAAAUAAUCAACUUACAUUGUUUUCAUUUAAACAAAUAACUAACACAUACCUGAACCUGUAAUUCGAUUUCACAUUUGGUAUUUACUUCAUAUUGCCCGUUGAAUCGUUCAAAGUUAAAAAUGAUACGCGGAUAGUCUGAAAGCUCAUACAAUGCAAACGUCCCAAACGUGGUCUUAUAUGUAAUUACAUAUCGAUGCCACUGUCUCAGACAGGGUCUUACACGUAAACACAAGUUGAUGCCAACGUCCCAGAUGUGGUCUUACACGAAAAACACAUAUCAGAGGUCCUAUGCCAUGACAUAUUUAUCCUAUCUAUUCCUGGGGUUCGUACGGGACUUUCGGACAUUUUAUCUCUAUCAAAACGAGCUCGAAACAUAGUUCCCCUAUCUCAAAUCACAUUCGGCCAAACACAUAUAUAAUCGAAUAAUUCAAUUCAUCACAUAACAUUUAUAUAUUAUCAAGUUUAACAACAUUUAAAUGUCUAUAGACUUACCUCGAAUAUUGACGGACGGAAUAAUCGACUAUUCGUUUAUUUUUGUUUUUCCCUGAUCCAGUUCCAUUUUCUUUGGUUCUUGAUCUAAACAUAUUCAAAUUCAACCAUUUUAUUCAUCAAAUCAUUCAAUUUAAUCCAAAAACACAUAACUGGGAAAGUUACCAUUUUGCCCCUGACAUUUUACACUUUUUGUAAUUUAGUCCCUAUUGCAUAAAACUCAAAAUACACAAAAUUUGCAUAUACCAUGCUAGGGCCGAAUAUUCAUAGGCUCCAUACAAGUCCAUAUAUUUAAUUUUUUUCACAUUUUAGUCCCUCAAAAUAUUAUUUUUACAAUUUAACCCUAAUUACUCAAAUUCACCAAAAAUCCAAAAACAAAACAUAUUAAUCUAACACAUAUAUUUCAUAAUUCAUCAACUAUCAUCAUAAAACUCAUAAACUCAUCAAUGGCACAUUUCAAAAUCUUCAUCAAAAUAAAAAAUUCAAUGAUGGGUCUUGAAGUAUUUGAAGCAACGAUUACAAAAACAUAAAAAUUAUCAAAAACCGAACAAAAACUAACUUUAAAUCAAGCUUCAAAGAUGGCCGAAUAGCUAGGUUUUUCUUCUUUUCUUUUCUUUAGUUUCGGCUAGUAGAUAAAGAAAUAAAAGAUGAUAAUGACUUUUAUUUGUUUUAUUAUAACAUUAUAAUAUAAUAUAUAUUAUAACCUUUAUAAAUAAUAAAAAAACUAUAUAUUACAAACAUAAUGCCGUCCACUAUCUUUUCAAUGGUCAAAUUGCAACAUAAAACCCCCAUAUUAAAAGAACAACCACUAAUCAGCCCUUUUAGAAAUAACCACUAAAUUUUUAUUUUACGCGAUUUAAUCUUUUUAUUUAAUCAGACACUCAAACGGCGAAAUUAAAGCACUGUACAAGCCCAAUUUCGCCCGGCCCAUACCAACAAAACAAAAACCAGCCCAAUAACCAAAACCCUAGCAGCCCACUAGACCCAAAACAAGGAAAAAUCUAGCAGAAAACAGAAGAACCCUAGGCGCCGCUCCUAGGGUCUUCUGACCUUUGGUUUUCUGCCCACCUGCUCUGCCAGCAACCACCGCCAACUGCCACUGUCACCUCCACCCACGUGCGCCCAUGCCUGCAAUGACAGAAAGAAAACAUCAGCAAGUAAAAUAGACUAAAAAAAUUCAUGUAAAUUGGCUAUAAAGCCAACAAAAAAUCUUUGUAAAGGGGUUCGGAAAAAAAGAAAAAAAAAAGAGAUUGAAGAAAUAGAAAAGAAAAUCAGUUUGAAAGGUGAUAUUUUUAGUCUUUUUCUCUUCGAUUUGGAUCUGUUCUUGCUCUUUCUUUUCUUUCACAUUUAAUAAAAUAAAAAAGUAAUAAACGAAACUUACCUGAGCCGUCGUUGUUGUGGCGUCGCCGGAGUCCGAGUUACUGAGAACGGACGAGGAUGACGACUUUUGGGGUUCUCUUUCUCGGCCUUAGGGUCUUUAAAACCCGAUCUUCUAAAGGCUUUUGAAAAGGGGUUUAAAAAAACCCGACCUUUCGCCUUCUGACUGCCGCCUACGGUGGCGCCGGCACCGAUAAUCGGCGACCGGCAUGGUGGCCCGCGGCAGGGACUUUGGCCGGAGAAAAGAGGGGUGGGGAGAGUAUUUUGGAUGUUUUUUUUGUUUAAAACAGAGGAGAAUGACAAAUAAAAAAAAAGGCGGCUUAAAUAGACACCCUAAACGGCGUCGUUUAAGGCUAGCACCAUAGUCCAAAAACGGCAUCGUUUUGACACGGAUCAGGCCGACCCGACCCGACCCAAUGAAGGUCCGCGUGUUUUUGUACCUGAGGGUCUAUUUGUGAUUUCGGCCCUUCCGCAUUUUAACUAUUUUACAAUUAAGUUUCUUUUUUUUAAUUUGAUCUUGAAAUUUCUUUCAUGUUUCAAAUUGAUCCUCCUUGAUGCGAUGCGUUUUGAGGGCUCCGGUCUAUUUACCCGUCUGGUCCCUCUCUGUUUGGCGGGAGUUGCAAUUUAAUCCCGUUUUUGUUUUUUUAUUUCGAUUUUUAAUAAUGAUCAAUUAUUAAUACACUGCUUUCUGGAUAGUCUUAUAGGUGCGGCAUUAAAAUGGUACAAUCAGCUAAGCCGGACCAAAAUUGCUACUUGGAGAGAUUUGGCACAGGCUAUUUUUUAUAUAUAUACUUAUAUACAUACUUUUUAUAUUUUAUGAUAAUUAUAUACGUAUAUGCACAUAUUUACUUAUAUAUAUAUAUUUUAUAAUGCAUAUAUACAUAUAUUUUUCAUGUUUUUAUAAAUUUACGUACAUAUUUAUAUUCUAUAUAUCUUUGUAUUUUAUGAUCUACAUACAUAUACAUGUAAAUACUUAUAUUUUUAUAUCUUAUAAUUUAUAUUUUUUUCAUACUUACAUAAUUUUAUGUAUAUACAUACAUUCUUUCCCUUCAUAUGUACAUACAUAUUUUUCAUAUUUUAUAUUUUUCAUAUAUUUUCCUUUAUUUUUAUGUUCAUUUAUGUAUUUAUUUAUAUGCCCAUUUUAUGCUUUAGUUUAUUUAUUUAUUUAUUUGCUAUGGAAUGUAUGAUUGAUUUAUCAUUCGUUUUGUUCAUUUUUUUACAUAAUCAUGUUUAUUAUUCCAUCAUGCACGUGAAUAUCAUGUUUUAAAAAAAAAGAAAAUAUUUCAAAAUAAGGCAAUAUUUUGCGUUUGGAAAUUCGAGGAACGUGCCCUAAGGUACUGGGUUUCGAUUUCUCGUUUGACCAAAUGACUUAAUAUCCUUUUCAAAAAUUUUCAAAAUAAGGCAAUAUUUUGCGUUUGGAAAUUCGAGUAACGUGCCCUAAGGUACUGGGUUUCGAUUUCUCGUUCGACCAAAUGACUUAAUAUCCUUUUCAAAAAUUUUCAAAAUAAGGCAAUAUUUUACGUUUGGAAAUUCGAGGAACGUGCCCUAAGGUACUGGGUUUCGAUUUCUCGUUUGACCAAAUAGCUAAAUAUCCUUUUCAAAAAAAACUUUUCAAAAAUAAGGCAAUGUUUUGCGUUUGGAAAUUCGAGAAAUGUGCCCUAAGGUGCUGGGUUUCGAUUUCACGUUUAGCCAAAUUGCUGAAUAUCCUCUUGAAUUUUAAUCCAUGCCAUUCGAAAAAUUUUUAAGGAUCGUAUUUUGAAUUUCUUUAAAGUUUUCAGCUUUUCGACACUAAGACAUUAAGUAAUCAACUAGGUACCAAUUUUGGGCGUAUCGAGGGUGCUAAUCCUUCCUCGUGCGUAACCGACUUCCGAACCCAUUUUUUUGGAUUUCAUGGACCAAAAUUGUUGUUUUAAUAAAAAACAAAAUCGUUUAUUAAAAACAACCAGUUUUCAAGUGAUCCAGUCACACCUCAUCAAAAAGGAUUGGUGGCGACUCCCGUUUUAUCCGUUUUCGUCAAAACCCAAGUCAACCCCGUUUUUAUCCAAAAAAAUGGUGUCAACAGCUUGGCGACUCCGCUGGGGAUUUUAAAUAAGAGAGUCAAGCCACGAGUUGAUUAUUUCUUAUUUUUUUGUCGAAAGUUGAAAAUUUGAUUUAAAUAUACGAUCUUCUCAUUGCAUUUCAUUUGUUUUGAAUUAUAGCUUUCAUUAUGCUUUGUAUUUUAAAUUUUUAUCUCUGCAUUGCAUUGCAUGACCGUUGGUCACACCUUUUAAGUGGGAGUGAGAAGCUAUUCCUUCGUGAGGUUUUCACCUCCGUGCAGGAUAGUGGAUCGCUUUCGGGAUACAUCUGUACCUAUGUCUUCGUGAGAUUUUCAUCUCCGUGCACCCAUAGGGAAAUGUAUCCCCCUGAACCGAACUCGAUCUGUAUGAGCCUAUAAUGGGUGAAGAUCGAGGAAUCUGCUGGUUUGGGUACCCUUAUUUUAGAGCCAAACCAUAUAUAGUGAACCUUAGGGACUCACCCUCGGUAGAACUACACCGAACCCUAGUGGUACCCUGAUAUGUGUUUUUAUUCUUUCUGAAUUGUUUUGGAUUAUAUGUUUAUAUCUGAUACUAAUCUUUGCUGUUUUACUUUGGAUGCAUGACAUUUUAACUGCAUGGCAUUUCAUUACAAAAGGCGUUGAUUCACAUUCGAUUUCUAGACAGAAAGCUCAUAAUGGAAAACGAAUUUCUUGAUAAGGCUGAAAAUAAUGCGGUUGUCCAAACAUGGUCAGAAAGAACGCAACUUGAGAAAGGUGAUAGUGUAACGGAGGGGUAUACAUCAGAAUUAUGGGACUUCACUUGUAUCAACGUAACUCAGAAUAAUCUCCAAGACUUGAAAGAAAUCUGGGCUCAGUGGGAUGACGAGGUCAAACAAUUGUUUUACUAUAAUUAUGGUGAUUUGCCCUACUUGCUCGACAUCAAAGUGGACGAGCAUUUAUUUCGAGCUCUGGUCCAAUUUUGGAAUUCUGCUUAUAGCUUUUUCACCUUUGGGGAAGUAGACUUGGUGCCUACCGUGGAGGAGUAUACAGCUUUGCUUUGUUGUCCAAGAAUCCAAGUAGAUAAAGUUUAUGCUAGAACUGCCAAUGUUCUCCCUUUUACAAAGAAGUUAGCAAAGAUCACUGGAAUGAGCGAGCAAUGGGUUACGGCACGAACCAAGCAAAAAGGAGAAAAUAAAUGUAUCCCUUGGAGAAGUUUGCGAGAUCAGAUUUCGGCACACCCUGAUACAAAGAAGAAAGUCGAUGUCCUCGCCUUGAGUAUCUAUGGGCAGGUUAUUUUCCCCAAAGCGUUAGGACAUAUUGAUGACACAGUUACAAAUUUGUUCAAUCAGCUUGACAGGGGGGUUACACCUAUCCCAGCAAUUCUGGCCGAAACGUUCAGAUCUUUAAGUGCAUGCCGAAGAGCGGGCGAAGGAAGAUUCAUUGGUUGUGCACAGCUCCUGUUAGCUUGGUUCCACAGCCACUUCUGGAAGGUGGAUAAGGUUUCUUACAAAGUAUUCUCUGAAAGGUAUUCUCCUUUGAAAGAAUUAGCAGCGACGCCAAGACGUGACGAUAUUUCUGGAGAAAGGUGGAUGGCGAUCCUUCAAAAUCUCCGAGAUGAAGAUGUUGAAUGGAAAGCUCCUUGGAUGGUGCCUGACGAGAUUUUAUAUCGAUGUGGAGACUUCGAUUGGGUUCCUUUACUCGGAAUUUGGGGAGCCGUUGGAUAUACCCCUCUGCUCGUAUUAAGACAGUAUAGAUCAAGGCAGUUCAUACCGGCAAUGCAAGGACUGGCCGAAUGUGAGUUUUCUUAUGGAGAUAAUAACUACAAGGGAAAGAUUCGAGAAAUGUCCAACGCUUGGAAGCAAACUCACCGGAUGAAAAGAUUUACCUUUGGGGCAAUGAUAACUCCUGAAUAUCAUGGGUGGCGAAGUAAGAGAAUUAACGACAAUAUUCCUGAACCAAGUCACGAAGGUAGUCAGUUAAUGGAGGAGCAUUUACGGGUCAUCCCUUCUGAACUGGAAAUAUUAAAGCAAGACUUUGAAAGAAGAAAUGCAGAAUUAGAAAAGCAGAUAGAGUGAAUAGAGGAAGAAAAAAUGAAUUUAAGAUUGGAUGUAGAUGUUCAGAAGCUUGAGGCGGAGCAACUAAGAAAAGGGAAAGCUAGGGUUGAAGAAGAUCUUGAUAGUUUAAAAAUAGAUUACAAGAAGAUGCGGCUAUCAAUGAGGACUGUAGGGUUGGGAAAAACUUCGGAACAGUGGCGCAAAAAAAUUCAAGAAGAGAAGAAUAAGGCUGAUGAAUGAGAAAGGAGGUUCCAAGAAAUUCAAGCACAGAACGAGACUCUGAAGAGAAGUUUAUCGGAGAAUCAGAAAGAGAAAGGGGAGCUAGAGAACAGAGUGAUUGAAUUAGAAGGAUCUCUUCAUCGGCACCGAAAUCGGAACUCUGUGAUGGAAUUGAGAGCAAGCCUAAAUAGAAUUGAAAAGAUGAAAGAAAGAACUGAAGAGUUAGAGGCAGCAUUGCGAAAUUGCGAGAUCCGGAUCGAGUAUUUGGAAGCUAAUGAAGAUCGUCAAAACGAGCAGUUGCACUACUUUCAGAACCAAGUUAGAGAUAGAGAUCACAUUAUGGGAGAAGCUGUGGCUCAAAUUCGAGAGGUUGCGGAUCAUCUGCAGACACUAACAGUGCAAGCUGAUACGCUAAGUGUGAAGUAUGAGUUGGAAUCAAGCCGAGGAAAAGAGCUAGCUUCAUUACUUAAGAAGAUUAGAAUUUUGAGCAUUAGGGCAAAACCGUAUAUGUAAUCGGACUUAUGUAAAGAAUUUUGUUUUUCUAAUAAAGUUUUCUAAAUGGAAUUGAAUCAAAGUCAAUGCCUUUUCUUUUCGCAUUUCAUUUCAUGCAUUGCAUCACAUUAUAUGCAUUAACAACCAUCAAAGGACCCUAAUUGAAUAAAAUUAUUUCAAUUAACCUGGAAAAUCGACACUGUUACGGCACCCGUGCUAAAUCAAAAAUUAUGGAUCAAAGGAUGGAAAAACUAGAACGGCUUCAAAAGGAAAUGCAAGACCAGUUGCAGGUGCAAUUGAAGGAACAUAUGGAAAAGAUCCAGAAAGACAUGGCGCAAAAGAUGAAAGAGUCUCAAGAUGACCUAAUGACUAAAUUGACGCAAUUAAUAGCCAAGGAAGCGGAUAAAGGGAAAAGUCCUGUGAUUUGCGAUGAAGAAGGAAACAAUGAUGAGCCACUUUUUCCUCUAGGAUUCACGCUUCCGCAAGCGCAAAUUCAGAUUGAACCACAUCCACGAAGACCUUCUGUUUCGAUUAGGCCUCAGCACUUUCAAGGUGACGCUUCAAUACCGAAGAACCUUCAGGUCAGAUCUGGUUCUAGUCCUGGCGAUAAUCUGGUUGUCCCGGACUUCGAUGAAGUAGCUGAGAAAGACAAGAUAAAGGAAGAGUUACCAAAGCAGUUUGAGGAGAAAUGGAAAUGGAUUGAAGAGAAAUUUAGGGCGAUAGAAAGUAUCGACAGCUAUCGUGGAAUAGAUGCGAAAGAUCUGAGCUUAAUUCCGAAUUUGGUGCUUCCUUACAAAUUUAAGAUGCCGGAAUUCGAGAAAUAUAAUGGGACCAGUAGCCCAGAAGCUCAUAUUACUAUGUUCUACAGGAGAAUGAUGGGGUAUAUUAAUAAUGAUCAAUUAUUAAUACACUGCUUUCUGGAUAGUCUUAUAGGUGCGGCAUUAAAAUGGUACAAUCAGCUAAGCCGGACCAAAAUUGCUACUUGGAGAGAUUUGGCACAGGCUAUUUUUUAUAUAUAUACUUAUAUACAUACUUUUUAUAUUUUAUGAUAAUUAUAUACGUAUAUGCACAUAUUUACUUAUAUAUAUAUAUAUAUAUAUUUUAUAAUGCAUAUAUACAUAUAUUUUUCAUGUUUUUAUAAAUUUACGUACAUAUUUAUAUUCUAUAUAUCUUUGUAUUUUAUGAUCUACAUACAUAUACAUGUAAAUACUUAUAUUUUUAUAUCUUAUAAUUUAUAUUUUUUUCAUACUUACAUAAUUUUAUGUAUAUACAUACAUUUUUUCCCUUCAUAUGUACGUACAUAUUUUUCAUAUUUUAUAAUUUUCAUAUAUUUUCCUUUAUUUUUAUGUUCAUUUAUGUAUUUAUUUAUAUGCCCAUUUUUAUGCUUUAGUUUAUUUUAUUUAUUUAUUUGCUAUGGAAUGUAUGAUUGAUUUAUCAUUCGUUUUGUUCAUUUUUUUACAUAAUCAUGUUUAUUAUUCCAUCAUGCACGUGAAUAUCAUGUUUUAAAAAAAAAAGAAAAUAUUUCAAAAUAAGGCAAUAUUUUGCGUUUGGAAAUUCGAGGAACGUGCCCUAAGGUACUAGGUUUCGAUUUCUCGUUCGACCAAAUGACUUAAUAUCCUUUUCAAAAAUUUUCAAAAUAAGGCAAUAUUUUGCGUUUGGAAAUUCGAGGAACGUGCCCUAAGGUACUGGGUUUCGAUUUCUCGUUCGACCAAAUGACUUAAUAUCCUUUUCAAAAAUUUUCAAAAUAAGGCAAUAUUUUACGUUUAGAAAUUCGAGGAACGUGCCCUAAGGUACUGGGUUUCGAUUUCUCGUUUGACCAAAUAGCUAAAUAUCCUUUUCAAAAAAAACUUUUCAAAAAUAAGGCAAUGUUUUGCGUUUGGAAAUUCGAGAAAUGUGCCCUAAGGUGCUGGGUUUCGAUUUCACGUUUAGCCAAAUUGCUGAAUAUCCUCUUGAAUUUUAAUCCAUGCCAUUCGAAAAUUUUUUAAGGAUCGUAUUUUGAAUUUCUUUAAAGUUUUCAGCUUUUCGACACUAAGACAUUAAGUAAUCAACUAGGUACCAAUUUUGGGCGUAUCGAGGGUGCUAAUCCUUCCUCGUGCAUAACCGACUUCCGAACCCAUUUUUUUGGAUUUCAUGGACCAAAAUUGUUGUUUUAAUAAAAAAAAUUGUUUAUUAAAAACAACCAGUUUUCAAGGUGAUCCAAUCACACCUCAUCAAAAAGGAUUGGUGGCGACUCCCGUUUUAUCCGUUUUCGUCAAAACCCAAGUCGACCCCGUUUUUCAUCCAAAAAAAUGGUGUCAACAAGCACGAAAUUUUCACACAAGUAAAUUCACACAUAAUAAACACAGAAAAAAAUUUUAAAAUAUUUUUCUAACUCGGAUUCGUGGUCUCGAAACCACCGUUCCGGUUAGGGUCAUAAUCGGGCUAUUACAAUAUCAACAAGCUGUAAUUAGGCAUCCAAAACAAGCCAAAAUAAGUGUAUUCAUGCAUUCAAUAUACUCAAAUGUAUAACUAACUUAUAUGCAUUUUUGUACCCAAAGUAUACCAAGCUAAUUUGCUUUAUUUCAAACCAAGUCACUUCCCUGCCAAAACAUACCAUUUGGUGCCAAAAUGUAUUUCAAAUACUAACAUAUUUAAAUAUAUAUAUACCUUAUAUAUUAAAGUGCCGAUUCAUGAUAAAUUCAUCACAUUCCAAAUCACAUGUAUAAAAUGCACAUUAGCUAACAUUUUACCUUUCGCCAUACAACCAGAAACCAAACCACACAUCAACCAUAUAACACAAAUAUGCACAAAUCAAAAUGUGUCAAAACACAAGCCAAAUAAGUGGCUAAUCUCAACAAAAUUCAUAUAGGCCAACAUUAACCAGAUUACCUAUACAUGCCAUUAUAACCAAAAUCAAAACAUCCGAAAGUACCAAUAGAAAUGAUGGAUAGUGUGAUAUAUCUCCGAUAAGCUUCCAACCCGAUCGAGCUUCCGAUAAUCUAGAAAGUAAAGGAAAACAACUACGUAAACAAUGAAUGCUUAGUAAGCUCGUAUAAACUUUAAUCAUAUCAAUUCAUUUCAAAUAUGAAAUUUAUACAUAUCAAGAAUAAUCCAAUAUUGAUACCGCAAUACUCGUGAAGUUAUAUUCAAUAACUCACAAGGUGAACAAAUCCACCGCAUCACUUAUACAUAUUAUUCCUAGCAUAUUAGGAUUUUAAGCAACUUUAACUCUUCCAAAUUUCUUUAUUUUCAUUUGCAUUUCUUUACUUUCCACACUUAUUCCAUAUGCAUAAUGUAAUACCCAAUUUUGCCCCGGGGCCCAUUCAGAAUAAGCAGAAAAAAAACAAAAAAAUAAUAAUAAAUAAAAUUCAAUCCAAAAACAGUCCAUUUACAUUAGCCCAGAUCAAUUUACACAAAAAUAAUAAUAAUACAAACUCUAGCCCCAAAAUAUAACAAGACCUAAUACAAAUAGCCCAUUAAUCUAUCCCGACCUAAACCCGAUUCUAAGCCCAGCAAACCAACUCAGCCCAAAUGGCCCAACACUAGAAUACAUAGUAGUAAACCGUAGCAGCAUUCAGCCCCAGUGCGCGCCGUAGUAGCCUCCACGCACGCGUUGAGCUUCCACCCCACGCACGCCCAAUGAGAAUUUUUUCGAUUUUUGCUAUUUAUUUUAUUCGAUUUUUUCGGUUCUUUGUCGAAUGAGGAUAUAAGAACCGAAAACCCUUUGUAUUUCUCCCUUACGCAUUCAAAAUACAAAAAAGAAUCAGAAAUACUGAAAGGUGAUUUUUCUGGGUUUAUAUUCUUUUUCAUUUUACCAGUUAUUCGUUUCCUUUCUUUUCUUUCUUUUAUUUAUUUUUGUGUUCAUUAAUCGGGAGAGAAGAGAAGAGAUAACAGUAAAAGAAAGGACGUACCUGGUGACCGCAUCCUCUCUCUCUCCGUCGUCAUCAGAGUUGAGUGGGGGUUGGAGGGUCUGAGAAGAGGAUUCGUCGAGCGGCACAAAGUUUUUAGUUUAGGUUUUGUUAUUAAAAGUGAUAGGGUUUUUUAGGUUUAUUUUAUUCUUAAGCACAGAAUUUUAAACGUCACCGUUUGUUGCUAAUGCAAUGGCUUCAAAACGGUGUCGUUUUGAUGACCCGAUCCAAACGCUGACCCGAUCCGGGAAGGAUCUGCGCAUUAUGGAUCGUUUGGUUUAUUUAUUUAAUAGGUCCUUAUGCGUUUACUGGAAUGGCAAUUUAAUUUCUUUAAUCAUUUGUAAUUAUACCGUGUAUUUAACUUAGUUUUCAUUUAGGUCCAAACUUGAACGCUGUCGUUUUUGUGAUGGAUUGUGAUGCUUGUGUUUAGCCGCUGGUUUCGUCCUUCAGUUUUGAAAUAAAUUUUAAUUUAGUACAAAUUUAGUUUUCUUUCUUAAAAUUCAGAAAUAUUUUAAUUGUAAUUAAUCCUACUUGCAUAUAUUAUAAAGUCUAACAUUAUUUGUAAUAUUUGAUUUUCAUAAUGUUUUAAAUCUACUAUUAUUAUAAUUUAAAAUAUAAUAAACCAUCAUUUUAGUUUGUAUUUCAUAUUUUUAAGUUCAUUAUAUAAUAAAAUUUUGAAUUUACUAUAUAUUUAUUUAAUUUUGUUUUUUUUUCUUUUAGGUUCAAACUUUAUUUAAGCUCCAAUUUUAAACUUUUUAAUAUUUUUCUUAUAAUUGUUGUUAUCACUUUUCAAAGUUGUUUUAUUAUAUUUAAUUUUAUCUUCAAAAAAUGUUUUUAAAAUAAAUUAAUUCCUAUUUUAAUUCAUUUUUAACAUUACUUUGAUAUUUAGUAUGAUAUUGUUUUUAAAAAAAAACAUAAUACAUAAUUUUUUUAAAUUAUUAUCAAUAUGUUUUAAAUUUAUCAAUAUUAUUUUAAAAAUAUAUAAUUUAUAUGAAAUUAUUUUUAGUAUAUAUAUGUAUAUAAAGUAUAUCAUUAAUUUCGGAUUAACCUUUUUUUAUAUGAUUUUUAUACAUAAAUGUUUCAUUUCUUAAACCUUAUUUAUUCGUUUUAUGGGUUGUUAAAUUGUUAAUAUGGACGUUUGUAUGAUAUGAUUAAGGUCAAUGUUUUUAUUUGCCUAUUAUUUAUUUAAUUGCUUGUAAUUUAAGUUUAAAUUGUUAUUUAUCUUUUACAUUACAUGUAUCGUGAUUCAAUCAUGUUCCAUUUGUAAGAGUUGAAUUUUAUUAAAGCAUUAUAAUCGUUUUAUUUCAUGAUUCUUAAAAAAGGCUUGGUGUUCAUAGGUUCUCGAGAGAAUUGUGCCCUAACUUACUGGGCUUCAAUUCUUCUCGAUGAAUUUAGAUAAUCAAGUGUUCAUUUUAUUAAAAUCAUACAAUUAUUAAAACAAAAUUCUUAAGAUUUCAAAAUGUUGGAUCCUAUCUUACUGGAUACGACAUUUUGUUAUCUCGAUUUUAAAAUAAAGGCAAUAUUUUAUGUUUAAGAAUUUCGAGAAAUUGAACCCUAACUUACUGGAUUCUGAUUUCUCGAUUGACUUAGAUAAUCAAAUAUCCUUCUUAAAACAUGUUUUAAAAAAAUUUAAAAGGAACGAAUCUAACUUUGAAGAUUGAACUGUUGCACUCUAACUCACUGAGUGUGGCGGUCUAUUUCUUUGAAAUGGGUCCGUCUAUUUAACCAAUUCAAUUAUUUAAGCUUUCAUUUCAUGGGAUUGUAUUUAAAAAUCUUUUCAAGUUUCGACACUAAGACAUUAAAUAAUCAAUUCGGUACCAAUUUUGGGCGUUACAAGGGUGCUAACCCUUCCUCGUGCGUAACCGACUUCAGAACCUAUUUUCUCAAAUCUCGUAGACCAAAAUCGUUUUAAGGUGAGCCGAUCACACCCCAAUAAAGGAUUGGUGGCGACUCCAAUUUUCAUUUUUAAUAAGUCGAUAACUAAAUUUUUUGUUUUCGAAAAAUGGUUUUGACACAUAACAUACCAGUCAUAAACAUAUCAUUCAACCAUAGCCACAAGCUAAUGCAUCUAAACAUAGCCUUUUUCGAAUUAAUCACCUGAUAAGUCAUUUCAUAAGAAAUUGUAUAACUUAAACCUUACCACUCAUUCAUGAGCACAAGUAUAUUUUCAUUUGAGCACUUACCCUUUCAACACAUCAUAUAAUAAACAUAUUACUAUUUAACCAGUAACUUGGCACUUGUCUAAGCGUCAACAACAACCCUUGUUAGCAUACUUGAACUUAUUUCAUAUAAAUUCAACAUUGAUAAACUUAUUUUAUCAACGUAUCACACUUGAGUUUAUUACUCAUCACAACAUACAUAAUUUCCAUGUAUCAACAUAUCAAGAAAUUGAUAUCUAUACAUAUCAUGACACAUAUCAUUCCCUUACUAUUUCUUCAUAUACAUAUAUCAUCCAAAAACAACUCCUAUUAUUUUACCAUUCGAAGAACAACUUACGGAUAUGAAUACAUCGCUUUCAAAAACCCGAAGGCUAAACAGAAGCUCAUGAAAGCUAAACAGAAAGUAAACACGAAAGUUUGCAACAAAUGUUGAACCUUGGUUUACUUGGGUAAUUUACCGUCAAUUCAUCCUUUACAUUCGAAGUGCCAUAACCCAGUUAUGGUCUUAUCAUCAGAAUGCCAUAGCCAGCUAUGGUCUUACAUAUAAACACUGCCAUGGUCCAACCAUGGUCUUACGUUCAUAGUGCCAUAACCCAGUUAUGGUCUUACCAUCAGAAUGCCAUAGCUCAGCUAUGGUCUAACAUAUAAAUAUUGCAAUGGUCCAACCAUUGUCUUACGUUCAUAGUGCCAUAACCCGGUUAUGGUCUUAUCCAUCAAUUCAUCCUUUGCCACAGAACGAUUGUACUCAAUCUCGCGUUCAAUCCAAACUGAGUAUUAAAUUCGAUAAUAUAUUUCCAAUAAUAAUUCAAUUCCAACAAUAGAACACACAUAUAUAUAGAAUAUCCAUCACCAAAUAACAUUCACUUUAAUCAAAAUUAUACAGAAUAUAGUUCAUACGAACUUACCAGGCUAAAUUGCAAAAAUACCAAGAUAUAGGGGCAUUUUGGUAAUUUUCCAUUUCCCUCGAUUUUCCACCCGAUCUUGAUCUAAAUUAAUAUUUCAUUCAAUUUAUUAAUUUAAAUAAUAAAACAAUUCAUUUCAUGUAAUUUGGUAUUUUUGACAUUAUUACAAAAUUGCCUCUAAAAUUUUACUUUUAUUCAAUUUAGUCCCUGAGCCCAAAUCAUGCAAAUUAACCAUUUUUAAUGCAAAUCCAUGCCAACAGAAUAUUCAUGGCAUUCAAUACAGCCCAAUUUUGCAAUAAUUUCACAACAAAACCUUGUAUUUUUACUAUUUCAACCAUUUAGUCCCUAAUCGAGAAAUUCAUCAAAAAACACUUAAUAAAAUACUUUUAAUUAACAAAUAAUAUCUCAAAUUCAUCAUUUAACAUCAAGAAUAAUAUAUAUUCAUCAAUGGAAACAUCCAAAAUCUUUAACAAAAUCAAAAACAAAUGUAAGAUUUAAUUGGACUUAAUUGUAACAAUCUCAAAAACAUAAAAACUAUUAAAAAUGGAGCUAAAUUUAACUUACCUGCAGCAAAAAUAUGAAAACCAACUUGAGCUCUCCCCCUUCUCUAGUUUUAAACCGAAAAUUGGAGAAGAAAAGCCUAGAAUGCUUUUAAAUUUUACCAUUGUUUCUUUUUAUUUUAUUAUUAUUUUUAUUCAUAUGCCGCCUCAUACAUUAAUUUAGGCAUAUUUAUCACUUAAGUCCCUCCUUAUUUAUUAAUCAAGCCAUUUAGUCACAUUAUUAUAAUUAGCAAGUUUUACACAAUUUUCAAUUUAGUCUUUUUUAAUUAAUUAACUGUUAAAACGUUAAAAUCUUUCAACGAAACUUAAAUACUACCUUAAUGACACUCCGUAAAUAUUUAUAAAAAUAUUUAUGACUCAGUUUAUAGAAACGAGGUCCCGUUACCUUAUUUUCUAAAACCACUUGAACUAGGGUUUUAUCACUCGAAUCUAAUAAUUCGUUGUAAGACAUAAAUUACUAAUUCAAAAAAAAAUUAAACCAUAUUUGACUCGUAAAUAUUAAAUAAUAAAAUUUACGAGCUUACUCGCCAGAUUUGGUGGCGUCGAACUACUGUUUCCAAUAUCACUGAAAAUCGGGCUGUUACAGUUAUGGGUAAUUCUAGGUAUUGUGUUAAAAAGAGCAGAUAUGAUCAAAACUUAUAAUAAGAUGAUUAAAAAGAAUUACUUUUUUAUUGAAAUUAAAAAAAGUAGUUUAUAUUUUUUGUUGAUUUACAUUUUCUACUUUUUAUUGCCACGAGAGUUGCAACUUUAGUGUCUCAUGCAAUUUCGAAGUAGGUGUUAAAUUGUAAUGGAAUUUGACUCAAAAUAAAAAAAAAAGUUGUAUAUAAAGUCAAAUUGAAUAAAUAUAUUAAAGGUUAGAGGCUAAUUUAUUAUAAAACCCCAAAUAAGUACUUAACGAAAUCUAAGUAUAAUACAUAAACUUCUAUGGCAUUUUACUAAUAAUUUGCUUGGUUUAUGAAAAAAAGUGAAUUUUUUUAUUAAUAAAUAUAUUGGAUGUAAUGGAUGGUGGAGAAAGUAGAAAAAGCCUUGGAAUAUUAAAGGAUUGGUUGGGACCAAAAUAUUAAUUAAUUUGGGUUUAAGACUAAUUUUUGGUUGCUCACAUUAUUCAAUUGGUGUUACGCAAUAAAUUAUUCCACAUAUCACAAAAAUUAAAAGUAAUUUAUAAAUCGAAUAAAAAUAGAACUCCGUUCCCUUCCCUUCCAUCUUGCCACCAUUAGCUUCGUUCCCACCAUCUUCACCACCACCUUUGUUCUUCUUCUUCCCUCCGUCGCCGCCCUCCUUGCCAUCCUUCUCUUUCUUAGGAGCUACAAUCUCAACAUGCUUCUUCAGCUUGUCCUUCAAAGCCUUAGCCAAGGCCUUAAUAUCCAUAGUCCCUUUAACUCUGACCAUCUCCUUCUGCCUGUCUACUUUGAACUCUCGGACACCUGCGAUGCCGUUAAAAACAAUAUGUAUCAAAAGUCAGAAUCGAACGCAAGAAUUUCAACGCCGUAAGAGCAACAGAAAAUUGUAAAGGUCAUCACCUUUGGUUUCAGAGACAAUUUUGCUAAUCCUAUCAAAGCAUCCAUUACACUGGCAUCCAAAUUGCACCUUCAAAUCCGCCGUCCUUACCGGGGCCUGAACAAAGAUAAUAAAUAGCAAGCUUAAAUUACAUAAUUUUUUUUUAAAACUUAAACCUCAAGAAAGUAAGUAACAAAAUUUUGAAAUGAUAUAGAAAAUAUGGGAUUUUGUACCUUUUUGGGUUUUUUGUCUGAUUUAUUAUCAGAAUCCUGGUUUUUCUGUUGGUCAGGUUUGAAAACAGAGGUUGAAGAACUCUUUUCCUUCAUUUUCCCAUCCCCUCCUCCUUGCUUGUUUCCGUUCUUUUUCUGCAACAAACACGAAGAAUAACCAUAACACUAAAUCAUAUUAAUUAUGAACCAGAAAACGAAAUGAAAGA